GGGUUUGAGAGAUUUUGGAGUGUUUUAAUUUUGGUGAGAUUUAGGUGUGUUUCGAAGUGAUUUAAGUGAUUUUAGUAAAAAAUUAAAAUUAAAAAUAAAAUUUUACUGGAAAUUUUAGAAUUGUUUAGGUGAUUUGGCAAGAUAUUUACUGAAAAUUUUAGAAUUGUUUAGGUGAUUUGAAAUAAUAAUAUUUAACUUAUAAUAUUUUCUCCAGUGUUGAGAAAAUCAAUUCUCAAAUACGGAGAUCUAUGAAAUAAGUACGUAUAGUUCUAAUCAUGUGAACACAUGAAUACAUUUCAAAGUUCACUUUUUUUUUCCCUUUUGUAUUCAUGAGUGUGGAUGCUAGCUUAUCUUUCUCUUCUUGAUUAAUCAGUGUUUCUGAAAUAGUUGCUUUAUGUUGUAUUUGUUUGUGGUAACCUGUCCCUAGCUUGCAUCGUGGUAAUGACAUCUCCCUUUUCUUUCAUCAUUAUGCUCCAUAUUCAUCUGUGUAGGUUAGCUUCCAUGGUCUGAUUAGAUACUUUGCUCAGGAUGAUCUUAUAGAGUGGGAUGUCUUUCAUCAAUGAACCAUUUCUAGAGAUAAAUUAUACCUUUAAAUAGACUUUCCAUACUUCAUCAUCUGCUGUGAACUUGUUUGUUUCAGAGUCCCACCCAAAACCAGAGUUACAACGAAGAAAAUCUGUCAAAUUAUGGUACCUGGUUUUCAGGAUCUUCAUCCUAUUUUUGUAGUGGCCAUAUGUUUUCUUCGAUCCAAGUUGUUGGCGUAGAACUGAUAAUACUCUUGUCUCGAUCGUUAGCUUAUUGAAUUUACCACUAGCAUCACGGAAACCAUUGUUGAUCGCAUCCAUUAGUGACCGUAAUAACAAUCUGUUUUCAGGUCCAGACCAUGAAUGAUAUUGACCCUUACCUUUUGCAUCUUGGGAAUCUCCCAUUUUAUGGAAGCUAACUAAUCACAAAGUACAACAGGGAUGGUAAGAACAUUAUGCAAAGAAAAACUAUAUAUAUUCAUGAAAACAUAACAAAGUAUUAAAACAAACGUGGAUGUAAAAUAAAGUAAAUAAAAAUACUACUCAUUAUGAUAGAAAAGAGGAUGAUCUUUGAAGUUCAAUAACAAUUUGGAAGCCUCUCCCUUUAGAAUAUAAGAUAACUACGUGAUAUUGAACACAUAAAUACACUGAUAUCUAUGACCACUUCCAACGGGGGUCUCUAAAGGAGGGGUUUUAAGGAAAAGGAAAAUAAAAAUAAAUGAAAAAUAAUUAAAAGUCAGAGAACCGCUGUUUAUUUCGGGACUUUUAGAGUUGUUAAGAGACCUUACUUGUCAUGGUCUUAUUCGACCUCUCAUCUAUGACUCUCUCCUUCGUCGGCUUGUCCUUCUCCGCUCCGUUCGUUGCAAGCGUUCGACCGCUCCGUUCGUCCCCUUGUCCUCCUCCGCUCCGUAGGCGAAAUCAAUCGUUUUCUUCCUCCUCCGCUCCGUUCGUUGCAAGCUCGAGUCCUCCGCUCCGAUCAAACCUCCCGAGUUGAUGCGUGUCUGCUUCCAUGAAUUGAAGACUGCGGUGGUGUUGUUGGGAGAUACGGAGAUUCAUUUAGUGGCGAUGCCGAGCAAGGAGAAGAAGUUCCCUUGUUUCUAGUGUUUCUCAGUCUCUUUAGGUCUUUAUGAUUUCUUAUUCGGAUCAAUCCUGAGGUUAGUAGACAAUCGAGAGCGCUUUGUUCAUCCUCUGAACGAAUUUGAGUGUUUGUUAUAUAUGAUUUUAUUAGAGAGAUUGUUUCUGAGUAUAACGUUUACGAGCAUAUGGUGAUUACUAAGAUCAAAGGUCUGUUUCUACACUCAGUGCUUUGAUUUGCUCUCGUUGUUGUUAUCUUAACGUCACGUGAUGAUUCAAUGUUUGUAUGCAGAUGGUGUAAACGUUGCUGCAUCUCAUACUCUAAUAUCAGGCGGUUUAACCUUUGGUGUUGGAGUCUUUGCUCUGAAAAGUGUUCUGAAGUUUAGAUGUGGUGGUAAAGUAAGUAAGCUUUAACAUGUUGUCUUGGUCUGUGCUGGAAUGAUGUUGCAAACCCAACAUCUUUUGCUUUCUCAGUUGUUUUUUGUGAAGAACAUUUGGUUUAACAAUGAAUAUAACCCUAACCCAACGUUAUGCAUGGCUUACUCUGAGUUUAACCCAACGUCUCUUUAUUAUA